rnacentral:lncRNA from 1 species
CCACCGUCUGGUUACAAGAAGCAUAUGAGACUAGUGGGUGAAAUCAUUCUCUAACAUCUUGAUCAUGGGUCUUGAGAAUAAAAUCUGAGAUGUACCUACUUACCUGCACUGUCGUAAAUAUUGUCAUAUCCUCCCAUCAGUCCUUUGUAAGCCCAUUCCAAGUCCCACUUUAUUCUUAGACCACCUCCAAGCCCUCUCCAGAAAAGACCACUGCACCCUUCAGAGUCCUACCAGAGGGAGAGGUGUUUGCAGCUUCAAAUGGAACAUUGCUCAAGGCAAAGUCAUAGCCAGUGAGUAGUAGUUCAGUUAAAUUGUUCUCUAAGUAAGAGGGAAAGCAACAAUUAGGAGGCUUGGAUGGACUGAAGUACUUCCCUCACUACCAGUCAGUCCCUUCUGGUGUCUAGUCUCUGCCUUUACCCCUCUUUUCUUUCACUCCUCCCACAGUCUCUGAAUGGACCCAGUGGUUUUUCCCUCGUCACGCAGGGUGAAGACCAUGGUCAACAUGGGCUUUUGAACUUUAGAACAGUCAUCAGCAGGACGUACAGUUACGUACAGAAGUAAGCAGAAUGGGGCUUUAUGUGUUGCUUUCAAUUGCUCAUAUUUACUAAAAGUUUAUUGCUUGAAGUUGAAGUUUUUUCUUUUCUUAGAAAAGUAAACAUCAUGAAACAAGCAACAUAGUAUCACAUAAACCAGGCAUGAUGAUACAUCCAAUCAUCCCAGCACGGUGUACACCCAUAAUCCUCGCACUCAGAGGGCGAAAGCAGGAAAAUGGACAUUCAAGGGCAUUUUAGGUUACAUGUGGAAUUGGAAGCCAGCCUGGACUACAUGAAAUCCGGUAGAACGAGCUAUCAGUUUUUAUGGUGGAAGGCUCAUAAAUUGUCUACAGAGCCUUGCUCAGCUCCUACAGCUCUCAGUUAGCUUUAAAGAUAGGCAAGGCUGCCUCUGCACGCUGUUUUUUUUGUUUUGUUUUGUUUUUUCUUCCCUUUAAUAUAGCCCCAGAUUUUCUCAUUUUGAGUUAUUUAAUUACAAACCAGAAGGACCCGGGAAACCGCUAACAGACAUUACAGAUUGGAUUAAAGUAUUUUAAAUCAAGCCAGACAUAUGCCUAUAAUCCCAGCACAGGAGAGGAUUAAGAAACACGAAUGAGACCCAGGACACCCUGGGCUGCAGUGUAUAAACCCUGUCUCACAAACACAAAUGUUAAAAGUCCAAAAGUACCAUUAACUUAAAUUCCUCGUAUGAUGAGAAAUACAGGCUUCUUGUUAAAAAAAAAAAAAAAACAACAGUAUACAGUUAAUAAAGAGAGGCCUUAACUAUAGAAAGGUACCGGAGUAUCUCAACUGAGACUCAUAAUCUCCCCAAAUAGAGAACAGAACCACCUAGAUAGGAAUGGUUUGUUUGUAAGUAGAAAAUCGAUGGCUGGAGAGAUGGCUCUGGGGUUAAGAGCAUUGGCUGCUCUUACAGAAGACUCAGGUUUGGUUCUCAGUCCUCACAUGGGGUCUUAUAACUUAUCUCUAACUCCAGUGUCAGGGGUCAUGAUGCCUUCUUCUGAUCUCUGAGGGCACCAGCCGUGCACAGGGCAUGCAGACAUAAAGGCAGACAGGUGUUCACAAAAUAAAAAUAGUUGCUGAAAAAAUUAAAAAUCUCUAAUCAGUCCCACCAACUAAACAGUGUGGAGACCUUUGUUUAAAGCUGGUAGCAUUGGGUGCCACUGGGCAGGGGCCUUCUUAGAGUAACUUUAUAAAACCUUCUUGGUUUUUUUUUUUUCUAGUUAAGUUCCCAGACCCGGAGAGGUUCAUAAAUUUGUCCAAGAUACCAAAUAAAAGGCAAACUUGUUUUGCAAAGAGAUAUCCCUGAGUUGAAAGGCCCUAAGCUUCCUCAGAUGUUGGACUGUCGGUGCUGAGGGAGCUCUGCAGUGUGAGAGAACGGGAAAGUUGCAAGGCCUUCCUUAGAUGGUUAACAUUAAAAUAUUUGCUUGAUGUGUCUGGCCGGAAUAUUUUGAGAAUUUUGAAAGUAUGACUUAGAAGUAGUGUCUUUGUAAUGGAAACAUAAAGGACAUCAACAUCUACACCUUAAUCCCAAGGAAAACAUUUAGUGUUCUAUUAAAAAUGUAGCAACAUUAGGGAGAAACAUGCGUGGCAGACUGUAAAAGCAGAAACAUGGCAGCCUGCAUGUUCAGGUGGAAUCCGUGUAUGUGCCACAUAUCGUUUAACCAACAAAGUGCCCUGCAGCCAAUGGAGGGAGCCCCUUUGCUAGCUUUUCUAGGGAAUGCCAAACCUAUACAGGUCACCGUCACCGCUUGGAGAUACACAGGAAUAAAACUCCUCACAAAUGCACAAGCCCUCUGCAAAGGAAACGGCAGUUUGUACAAGGUUUGUUCCAGGUAGGACAACACUACGUAUAGGACCGUGUGCCACUCCCUGACAUGUCUGCCUGCUUCCACAGGUGAGAAAGAAAGCAGAGCUCAGAAGCCUGCAGUAACGUAAGGACACGAAUGGGUUCGGGAGCCCAGAAAGAUUUAGCGUGGCCGUAGAAUACUAAAAGAACAUUUUUACCAAAAGUAUGAGCUUGGUAUUGGGGGUGAUUUAUAAAGUGGGUCAAGAGCUUGACUUAUAAUUAUACUCUCUUGGAAAAAAAUUCCCCUUAUUCAUAGGGAAACCUAGAAAACGUUUGUUUUAAGAAAUCCUAUUGCCCUGGCUAUCUUUAUAGUGUUUGUAAAGUGAUGGAAUAGAGACACCGUUUAGAUGUUCAAAUAGUGAACAGAUUACUUUAGGGGAAACAGACAAAAAAGAAAAAUAGCAUAUAUACCCAAGAUUAUUCUGGAGAAACUAGGUUGUGAACAAUGCUUUGCUUCCUUGUAAACAGGACACGACUUAUUAAUAAAAGCAAAAACCCACUACGACAUUAGUAGCAUCCACAAAAACCUUCACUCUAUCUUUGCAUCGCCAUGCAGAGAGGAAAGGACUGGCUACCUCAACUGUCAAGACCCAUCCAGUUGAGGCCCUUUUGGAUCUCAAGAACUGUUUGCACUGUGAGUCCUCGAGACGGUGGUUGAGCCUUUUGUCCGAAGGGCAAGUGGUUCUCUAACUUCAGCAGGCAUCACUCACCUAAGGGUUCCAAACCACAGAUGCCCAGGUUUCUAUUUCUAUACAUUUGGCAAUUUGCAUUUCUAGCAAGCUUCCAGAUGAAGCCACUGCUGCCGCUCUGGGAACCACAGGCUAGGAAUCAUUUCCUUUCAGAUCAGCCUGACUUAUCAAGCACUAACCUGACCUGACCCAUGGGCAAACAGCAUGGGAUUAAAUUACUUAAAACAUUCCAGUUCACCCCAUCCCAGUUUUAUUGUACCAACAGCUGGCCCUUACACAUUAGAAGACAAUGAAUGUAUACCUUCUAUGGAACCGCGAGAUAACUCUAAGCUCAUCUUUGUAUUUAUAAGCAUUAAUUCUAUAAAUGAUUGUUUGUAUCCUGUCGACUUGUACUGAAGGUGACUUUAAAUUUAUAUGGUAUUUUCAUUCCCUUCUAUAUAAUUUUAAUGAGAUAUUUCCAUGUAUGGCUCCAUCACAGCCUGGCUCCUGGCUUUCAGAGGCUUUUGAAUAGUUGCUUGCUUGCCAGUUACUUUGUGUCUUCGAUUGGUCAUUGACAUAUAAGCAUCCCGAAAUGCUAGGCCACUUCCUAUGGUAACUUCGUCUUUCGAGGAACUGUGCGGUGUAAAUUAGCACUUUAGUUUCAAGUUGAUCUGUCAAGCGUCUACUAAAAUGGCUUUGUGAAAAAUUGUCAAAAUGAAACAAUUCCUUUUGAGCAGUAGGUAUGCCUGUCUUGACUUUUCAGUAAACAUUGUGUUUAUAAAGAUAUCUGCACAAUGAAAUUUAUUAUUCCACAGGAUGGGGCAUAUAGGAAAGUCAACUUAUGUGCUUUGAGAAUUUAGUGAAAUGAGCCCUAUUACAGAUGGGGCCUCAGUUUUUAUUUUAGCUCUUUGCUCAGUUAAUUAGCCUUAGUAACUCCUUUUUUAUUUCAAAAUAAGGGCCAUGUAAUAGGAAGAACUGAUGAUCUGUGUUUUGAUUAAAUUCAACAUUUAAAUAAAACAAGUUUUAUCAAUGUAAUUCCAUCUACUAAGGAGGCUGAGGCAGAAGGAUCGUAAGUUUGAGCUUUGCCUGGGCGGCACAGAGAGAUUCUGUCUCAAAAAUUAGUGAGUAAAUAAAUGCACACGAAUGAAAAACAGUGGAGCAUACAAGAGAACAAUAAUUGAGUACUCUAAAUAUCACCUGUUUAUAAAUUAUCAAUUCUGUAUAAUUCUUAUUGACCUGAUAAAGUUUAUCUAAAUACUUUUGCUUAAUAAAUACUUUGAAAUAGUUUAAAUUAGACUAUUGUUUGAAUAGAAAGCAGUCACUCUAGGUACUUGUAUUAGCGAAGGCAUUAUCAACAGAGUGUUAAGGAUUCAAGUCUUUGGCUGUGUGGUUGAAAAUAAUUAAGAAUAUUUUCUUUUUGUUUUCUGUAACAAUUUAAAAAUUAUGUGCGCAGUUUGUUUAGUUCUGAUUUUAAUUGCAUCUUAAAAACUCAAUCUCUACAAAUCAUUUUUCCAAACUGUUUCAAUAAACUGUUUCCAAAAAGGAGGGGGAGGACCCGAAAGCCAAUCUAGCUUUUCUCUCAGACUUAAGGAGGCUUAAGCCCUUGACAACCCCUGCUGCAGUGGCCCUCCCCGCCCUCCUCAGGUCUCUGCUAGCCCUCUGCCACUGCUUGCUGUGCAGUUCUUUCCUCUGGAUAAUUUUGAAAUGAGUAUGAUGAUAGCAGUCAGUUUCUUGUUACAUAUUAGCUACUUUAGUCGAAGAUGAAUGACUUGGAUAUUUGGGUUUCUUUUCCGUUGAGACCCAGUAGGUUAGAAUACCCAGUGUGGCCUGAUAGGGUAGGAGAAAGUUCCUAGAGGGAAAGG